UAAAGCGUAAAAGAGCGUAGAGUGAAUGCCUUGGCAUUGGGAGCCGAAGAAGGACGUGGUUAACUGCGAAAAGCUACGGGGAGUCGUAAGCAGACAUUGAUCCGUAGAUGUCCGAAUGGAGCAAUCCGCAUGGAGUUAGUCUAUGCAUCCAUAAGUGAAUUCAUAGCUUAUGGAGGGGAACCGCCUGAACUGAAACAUCUAAGUAGGGCGAGGAAGAGAAAUCAAACGAGAUUUCGUAAGUAGUGGCGAGCGAACGCGAAAGAGGCUAAACCAAGAGAAGAAAUUCUUUUGGGGUUACGGACUGCGAUAUGUAUCUGAGGACUUAGCAGAAUGGUAUGGGAAAGCCAACCAGAGAAUGUGAUAGUCAUGUAUGCGAAAAGGAAUCAGAGCUAGCAGGAUCCAAAGUACCGCGGGACACGAGGAAUCCCGUGGGAAGUCGGGGGGACCACCCUCCAAGCCUAAAUACUACCCAAUGACCGAUAGCGAAAAGUACUGUGAAGGAACGGUGAAAAGAACCCCGGGAGGGGAGUGAAAAGAACCUGAAACUCUAUGCUUACAAGCACAUAGAGCACGUCAAAGUGUGAUAUGGUACCUUUUGUAGAAUGGUCCGGCGAGUUAUUGUAUGCAGCAAGGUUAAGGUCUUCAGGACUGAAGCCGAAGCGAGAGCGAGUCUGACAAGGGCGGUAAGUUGCAUGCAAUAGACCCGAAACCGGGUGACCUAGCCAUGUUCAGGUUGAAGUGGAGGUAAAGCUCCAUGGAGGACCGAACCGACCUCCGUUGAAAAGGCGGCGGAUGAAAUGUGGCUAGCGGAGAAAUUCCAAUCGAACCCGGAAAUAGCUGGUUCUCCCCGAAAUAGCUUUAGGGCUAGCGUUGUAUUAGAUUUCUGGGGGUAAAGCACUGAAUAGGCUAGGGGCCGAGAGGUUACUGAACCUUAUCAAACUAAGAAUACCAGAAAAUUGAUGUACAGCAGUCAGACUAUGUGAGAUAAGUCUCAUAGUCAAAAGGGAAACAGCCCAGACCCACAGCUAAGGUCCCAAAACAGAUUUAAGUGGAAAAGGAUGUGGGAUUGCCCAGACAACCAGGAUGUUGGCUUAGAAGCAGCCACACAUUAAAAGAGUGCGUAAUAGCUCACUGGUCGAGUGAUCCUGCGCCGAAAAUUCAACGGGGCUAAAAUUUGUACCGAAGCUUGGGCUUGAUACAUUCGUAUCAGGGGUAGGGGAGCGUCAUGUAUGAGGUGAAGUCGUAGCGAAAGCGGCGGUGGAUUGUACAUGAGAGAGAAUGCCGGAAUGAGUAGCGAGAAUUAUGUGAGAAUCAUAAUGGCCGAAAAUCUAAGGUUUCCUGAGGAAGGUUCGUCCGCUCAGGGUAAGCCGGGAGCUAAGGUGAGGCGGAAACGCGUAGCCGAUGCACAUACGGUAGAGAUUCCGUAGCCUCCGAAAAGUAAAGCACAGGGACGCUUCAGAAGUGUUACGCCGGGCGAUGGUUGCCCCGGUUGUAAAGGACACAAUUGAGUGGAAGGUAACAUGGAUGGAGACAAGAAAAGCUGUGUGUAUCUGGAAGGAGCCCGUACCGCAAACCGACACAGGUAGAUAGGAAGAAGAUUCUAAGGCCAGCGGGAGAAGGGUUGUUAAGGAACUCGGCAAGUUGACCCCGUAACUUCGGGAGAAGGGGUGCUUACGAAGGUAAGCCGCAGAGAAUAGGCCCAAGCGACUGUUUAGCAAAAACACAGCUCUAUGCUAAAUCGAAAGAUGACGUAUAUGGGGUGACACCUGCCCGGUGCUGGAAGGUUAAGAGGAGAUGUGAGAGCAUCGAAUUGAAGCCCCAGUAAACGGCGGCCGUAACUAUAACGGUCCUAAGGUAGCGAAAUUCCUUGUCAGGUAAGUUCUGACCC
rnacentral:rRNA from 1 species